rnacentral:rRNA from 1 species
AGUGUAGGCGGCUUCGUAAGUCGGAUGUGAAAGCCCCGGGCUUAACCUGGGAAUGGCAUUCGAUACUGCGCGGCUAGAGUCUGAUAGAGGGAAGUGGAAUUCCAGGUGUAGCGGUGAAAUGCGUAGAGAUCUGGAGGAGCACCAGUGGCGAAGGCGGCUUCCUGGAUCAAGACUGACGCUGAGGCUCGAAAGCGUGGGGAGCAAACA